AGUUUGCCCGCGUCGUUCGCCUUGAACAGUGAGAGAAAAGCCGAGACAACUGAGAGGAAAUCGGCUUUAGAGAAAACCAGCAAAAGAAAUAGGAAAGAGUGCUGGGGAAAAAAGGGUUUUUCGGGAUGAAAGUGUAAAUUUUCCCAAAAUUCUCGAUUCGUUGUGCGUUUGUGUGCCUCCUCAAGAGUUUCAAUUUUUAUGGAAAUCUGUGUAAUGUCAUUGCGAAGCAAAAAGGACAAUUGAUAAUGAGUCAUUCGAACGGAAUUCGAAUGGCAUUUCAGUGGCAAAAGGCCAAAAGGCAAAUUAAGUGCUCGCAUUGAUGCUUAAUUAGGAACGGGGAAUUUUUAUAGGUUUCGCAUGGAAUUUAAGAGUUGUUUUUUGUGUGUUCCUGCCACGGCCACGACCAAUGCCACCCCCUUGUUUCGGAUGAGAGAUGGAAAAACAUUGGUGAUUUUCAGCCGGGACAGGCUCCGUGGUUCAUCCUGCCAGUCGGCCUUGUGCAGUUACCCGCCAGCAGCCGAUGUCGCCAGUUGCCAGUUGCCAGUUGCCAGUUGCCAGUUGCCAGUGCCCAGUAACCAGUGGCCAGUUGCCAGUGCCAGUUGCCACGAAUAAAUCUUAGUCAUCAGCAGACUGGCCAAGAUCAGCCGCCGUACACACAUAACUCGGUCUAAAAGCCAGAAUCCAGUUGUUGCUAUUGCCUUUGCUGUUGCAUUUGCUGCCUGGUGACACUUGCAGACUUUUUGCAGCGGAACCACGACGACGAGACGUCCAGCAAAGUUGCAUGGAGCUGAAUUGAUUUAUGGCGUAAAUUUUAUUGUCUGGCCGGGAACUGAAACUGGAACUGGACUGGAACUCCUGACCGACCGACCAGCCAGCCAGCCAGCCAGCCAGCCAGUUGCUAGUCGGUGGCUCUUAACUUGUUAGCCACUAACUGUAAAGCCUCGAAAGUGCCUAAGUGUUGGUGAAUCGUGCGCGUGUCAUGUGACAUUGACUUUUAGUCGGGUGAAGUUUUCCUCCAUAACCAUACCCAUAUCCCCAGCCCACAACAUAUCACAUCCAUAUCCAACUAGACGUAUAGUAUGGUACGUCCACGCCAAACGUGUACAACUUUGUGUAUAAAUUAUAUUAUAAAACUGAAACAUAAAUUGCAACUUAACAAACUGUAACAACUUUCGCUUUGGACCGCAAAAAGAGAACAGAACCAUGCUGUGGACAAAGUUUGCCGUGCAUUUGUUGGGUCAACACAACAAGUAAGUUUUAAGCGACACGUUUAUUUCUCGCAAAUUGUUAAGUAAACAGAAUGCUUUUGAGUUCGCAACUUGGGCAUAAUAUUUUUCAAAUCAUUUCUAUUUAAUUAAUACAAAUGAAAGACUGCAUUCAGUUUGUUCUUUUAACUUAGGGAAAAUCACAACGACUUCUGGGUACCCCCAAAAAGGCAGACGUCAGUCGUAACCGUACUCUGUGCUAGAGCGCCCAAACCCCGGAGAGCCAAAGAAACCGAAGACCCCAAAGAAUUGGAAGAGGAACUCUGUGGAACCACAAAGGCAACAUGUUGCACAUGCACUCGCCAAAAGCAAUUUGCAUACAAAUGUUGCCAACGCACUUCAAAAACUGCACAAUCACAGGGGGGGGGGUUUAUUUUUUUGGUGGCGGUGGGUGGGGUGUUGCAGCGGAAAAGGGUAAAAGCCGCUUCAUAAUUUGAUAUUAAACAUGCACGCGUGUCUCCUUCUCUUUUACUCGCAUAUGUGCAACUUGUAAAUUUGCAAAUUGCUAAAACGCAUGACAGGAACAAAGGGCGAGGAUCUUAAUGGCGGGGAAACUGGGGGCAGACUAUCGGGCAGCUGUGUGAAUUUGCAUUUACAUCAAGGAAUCGCAGGAAAGGAAAAGAACUACAAAAAGUUACCCAAAAUUCAAGAAAACUGAAUAAAAAAGAUGUGCAGUUUGCUCAAUUGACUUUCAAUUGCAAAAUAUACAAAAUGCAUUGGGAAAAAGAAGUAGAGCUCAAGGCGAAAAGAAAUUUUCGAUUUGGUCCCUCGAUUAUUUAAAAUCACCUGUCUGCGCAAAGUUUCCUAAAAUUGUUUGUUUUAAAGAACAAGCUGUUCAUAUUUCUUUAAAUAUUUUAGCUAUGCUAAUCAGUUUUUUCCAGUGCCUCUUUGAAUAAAAAAGGCAAGCCCAAAUGAAUUUAUUUUCAAUUUUAUUUUCAAUCUGCUUUGUGUCCGUCAUAUGAUUGACAUGGUCGAUUGAACUGGCAAACGAGCGAGGGAGUGGAACGAUACACAUAUCGUUUAUUUUUGGCAGCAAGUGUUUGCGUUCGAUUUGCAGUUUUGUUAAUACUGCACUCGAAAAUACCCGAGACACCUCCUUAAACUCAAAUCCAAAAUGCGAGGGCUCUUGAAACCAAAAAUCUCCGGAGUCUUAAUAAGCUGCUUGCAAAAAAGAAGUACACACUUUUUAUAUCAGAUCUGUACACGCAAUUGAGUGUACAUACUUCUUUUUUUUUGUGAGUUAACACGUCUGUGUGUGCAUAUAUAAAUCAUAUUUAUGAGACAUUUCCCCAGCAGGGAAAAUACGAAAUGGAAUAAAAAAAAAAAACGUAUGAAUGUUAAAUAGGCACGCAACGUGCGAAAGGGAUGGCCACAAAAUGCGUCACUCCCCCCAUUCGCCUGACUUUUCCUUAACGAAGGAAAACAAUAAUCAAUAAGUAGUAAUACAACGGCCGACAAUUGUGGGGAAACUCACCCCCGCGACUUAGUCGAAUUUCCUCCCUCUCGCUCAUAUGUGUUAGAAUUUUUGUAGCCUGGGUAGUUCAUAACUUUUCUCUCAUAUGUGUGUGUGUGUGUGUGUCUGUGGUGGUUUUCCUUGGUUCUUGGCCAGGACUUCAGGCGUUUGACAGCCAUGUUUGUCCUUCGCACAUGCACACACACACACACGCCCACACAUGAUUGUAGGCGUCUCCUUGUGGCGGCAACCCCCCCAAAAAAAAGCAGGAAAAAAAGAAAAAGUGUGGCGGAAAAGUGUGCCACAAACUUUUCGCCCGAAAAAAGUUUGUCUGCUGACACAGAUCUGUGUGUAAAUGAGCGAGAUAACAAACAUUUGCAAAUUUUCCAGACAAUACCUCUUUUUACACUCUAAUCGUGCACAUAAAAAAAAUAAUUGAAUUGCUUCCGCUAAAUAAUCUUUUUUAUAGAUUCUAAUUAAAGCUUUUUUAUAUUAAUAUUAGCUUAAUAUUUAUAUACAAACAUUAACUGAAAAUUGCUUAUCCUUAUAACCAUUGAUGGUUUAGAAUGUGCGUUUUUAAAAUGUAUUAAUUCAGUUCCACAUUUUUGCUCUGAGUGUAAUCAACCUUUUUUUUUGGCUUGUUAAAGAGUUGCCGAAAAACAAAUUGGAAAAAUUUGGUUAAACUUUGGGUUCGUUUCAGUUUUGGGCUCAGCUGAUUUAUUGUCAUAAAUUUCAUUGAAAUUCAUGAGGCUCUUGGAAGAACCUCAAAAAUGUAAAAAACUGGGCGUGGCCUAAAUGAUGUCCGCGUGUGCGUGUGUGUGUGUGUUGCUGCGCCUACGCAACGGCCCAAAAGAUUUAUUUCAAUGGAACGAAGAAAUUAUAAUAUUUUCUAACUUCUAUCAUGGAAAAAGAAAUAUAAAAGAAAUAUGUACAUACAAUUCUGUGGGGCGAUUAUGAAAAGAGCUGUUGAUGUAUGAAUUGUAUGGGCCUCUCAUAAAUCUAGGGGCCCUGUCAAGGUGUCCAAUACGUUUUUCUGGCCUGUCCGUGUGUUUGUGCCUCAAGUGGCAGUCAUAAAUUUGAGAUUUAUGUUCAUCUCUCUUUUCGAUUUUGUUGUUUUUUGGUUCCUAUUUUUUUUUGUCCAUUUACCAUUUUUUCGGUUUUGGUCAAGAGAACCUGGCACAAAGCACAGUUCUUUACUCGGGCUUGUUAAUUAAAUGCGAUUGCAUCAUCGCAUAUUUCAGCUGUCCAUCUACUGUGCACAAUGCGGGUUAAGUAAAUACAUACACCGAUGUAUUUGGUAUAUAUAGAUUACUUCGCAUUUUUAUUUUUCACUUGUUCCUAUAGUUUACUCUUGUUUGUAAUUAUGUUAAAAAAGGAUUUAGUUUGGUUUUUUCUGGAGUUAAUAUUAUUAAUUUGUUGGCCCUUGCUGUAUAUAUCUUUAUUUCAUUUUAUCAAGCUAUGACUGGACAGAGAUUGUCGCUAAUCGCCGCUCAUGUACCCCAAGACAUGCCGCAUUUGUCUUUGUCUUUUAUUUUUCGGCUUUGUCUGCUCUGACACAUUUUUCUUAUGAAUUUUCAGUAUUUUCCCCCGGACUCACUAAUUUUUCGUGGCGUGUUUGUUCUGACCGCCAAAAUUGCUUGUCCAACAUUUGUUGAACAUGUUUUUGUACUUUGUUUCGGUUAUUUUUUUUUAAUAUUUUUUUUUUUUAUGUGGGGAACCAACAACGAACUACACGCAAGUGCUGAAGAUUUUCAGGCAGAUCCGUUAAACAUCAAAAUCAACUUUUUCAAGCUCAUUAAACAACCAGGGAAAAAAAGUGAAAUAAAGCCAAACGUUGACCUUCAAAAACGCAACGCAACCAAGCGAAAAUGGCAGCAACAAAAACAAAAAUGAUUAAAUACAUAAUACGAAAAAUAACAAAAGUCAGAGCCGCUUGGAAACAGGUUGUUGUUUCGCUCUCUCUAUUGUUAACAUUUUAUUAUGCUUUUUUCAAGCGGAAAGCAACAAAAGGCCCCAAAAACUCUUGCAAUUUUACGAUUAUUUACGAUCGAAAUACAUUUCUCUGCCGAUUUUUGACCUUGCAGUUGUUGCACUUAACACGUGCCAGAAAUUGAUAAUGAAAGAACGCGUUUUCGGGUGUUAAUCACACUUCGGGCUAUAAAAAAAAACAUGCGAAAAAAAGAAAAAAAAAACAGCUCUCUCAAAAAGUAAAGCCCGCAAAAGGCGCCAAAAAUAUUUCGACGACGAACGACUCAGACUAAAUUUAAAGUCAGAAGAAUCGUUAUUUGUAAAACUACUUGUCAAAUACCCUUUUGGUAAAAUCUUGAGAUUUGGAAACUUUUUUUUUUUUUGGAUGUUUUACAAAACGCGCAAAAAUCUUUAAAUAGUGUACAUAAUGUAUGCAUAUAGGUACAUAUUGAGAACUUUACCUUUUAUAUAUGUAUGUACAUAUAAUCCACAAAUUUACAGAAGUAUCUUUACCAUACCCAAUAAUACUCUAUAUACACGAAAUAUUCUAAUCAUAAAUGGACGUUUGCCGCGAUGACGAAGACUUUGCCUAUUGUAGAUUUUUAUUUGCCCAUGGUUUGUGUUGCUUUUGUUGUGGGCACUUCAAAAGUCGUGUGCGCGUUGUUGUUGUGUUGUGGUGUUUGGUUGUUGUAUAUCGGUUGUUUACUUUUACGGUAAAUGCGAAAAGCAACAACACUAAGGACUACAAAAAAGCGCGCGCUCGUCGCGCGUAUCUAGAUAAAUAUCUGUGAAAAUACACACUUGAGGCCAAGAUGCUGCACAGUGGGCGCCAUAGAAAUACGGCACUAUAGAAAAGUUUUAGGUGAACUUAGCAUAUUCUCUAUUAAAGGAAAGAAAAUUACACAUAUUCUACUGAUGAAACUAAAAUUUGGAUAAUAUUCAAUUGCUUGCUGUUAGUUCAAAGAUUAAAAAGUGAAAUAAUUUUUGGUGUAUAAUUGUGUGAGUAAACAAUGAAAAAGCGUGAUUAAUAAGUCUAAAUUCUAUGCAUAUUGAGACAACAGUUUGGUUCUAAAACGCACUUAUUACAUUAAGAUAUGUUUAUGAAACAAAUUUUCUUUUCUUUUUAUUCUCUGAAUACUUCCAAUAUCGUGACCUCACCUGUUCCUGGUUUUCUUGCUGCCUUUUCCAGCGGAGGCAACGACCAACAAUAACAACAAGCAAAGAAGACGCAGCGCAAAAAAAAACAAUCGUAAACAGAUCAUCGAACUCAGCCGCUGUGUUGUUGCUCCUGUUGUUGUUGUUGCUGUUUGUUGGCUGCCGUUGGCCUUGAUGUGCCUCAAAAAUUAUAGUUUUUUUUUACGGUGCAAGCUCUUUUUUUGUGGCUUAAAACCAUUUAAUUGUUUCAUUAAUUAAAAGUCGUUUAUUUAGAUAUUUUUUUUUUUAAUUUUACUGCCGUUUUGGUGAUAUUAAUAGAGUUGACAAAGCGUUCGGCGCCCACGCAGCAAGCAGCGACGUUGACGUCGGCAGAGCUGCUUUCACCGCUGCUUGCGUCAUGUUGGGCGACAAAGCUGCAACGGCGACAAAGCAGCAACCAAUAUGCAGUUGCCAUGUGAGGGUGUGUGCAAUGCAGCCGCUAAAUGUGUGCAAUUCACCACUUGAGAAAACCACCACCGCCGAAGCAAAGAAACCCACCACGGCAGCGACGUCGAACAUCGACGAACAUCGUCGAACAUCGCAUUUCGAGUUAUUUUCUGCGAGACUUCGCUGCGUUUUUUUCAGUUGAGUUCCGGAGCUCCAAAGUCGCGCAUCAAUCGCUCGCAAACAGCAUCGUGUUUUCGCAUUCGCGUGACUUGACAGAAAUUCGUAAAAAUUGAGAAACAAUUUACAAGUGAUGAACAAAAAUAAACUUAAACUUUUAAGUUUAAUAAAACCAUCAAAUAAUACACAGUUUCGGAAAAAGAUAAUACAUUUUAAUGAAAAUCUGAAAGCAAAUAAAUUUUACAAAGUUAAUGAUUAAAAAUUAAACAAACCAAAAAACAUAAAAGACAUAAAUAAAUUCAAUUCAAAAAUUCUUCUUAAUAUCUAACUGAUAUUUAUACUACGCAGACGAAAUAAAUAAACAUUAAAUAGCUUAUUUUUGGAUGAAAUUCUUAUAUUGGAACACAAAAAGAUCAAAGUUUUCAAAAAUUUCUAAAGGGAAACUCUUGAAAUAAACUUGCUAUAAAUAUUAUAUUUUCCAUGCCUUACUGGACACAUUGGUCUAUAAAGUAAUUUAUUUUUCCUCAAAAAUAUUGUAUAUCCCUUUUUUCGAUAAAGGAAACCUAUAAUAUUUUAUUUUUCUUACUUCCUAUUUUAAAUUCUGUAGAAAAGUAAAAAGCGUAAAUACGGUUCUUAAAAUCAAAGAAAAAAGUAUAGCAUUAUUUCCUUAAAAACUUCCCAUAAAUAAAUUCUUAAACCUGAAAUAAUAUACAUAUCUAAUGAAAAAACUUUGUCCAAACUUUCCAUAGAUAUAAUUCUAAUAAAUAAUAAUAGUAAAACGCGCACAAACGCGUCCAUUUCCAGAUUAUUAAUAAUGAUUUGAAAAAUAUUUAAAUUCAAUCAAACAAAAAGUCUAUCCAGCAAAAAACGCCAACCCAAACGCCGAAAAAAAAAAACAACACUGAAAAAGCUGCCAAGCGAGAAACGACGGAGGACCAUACCAUAUAUAACCCCUAUAUAUAACCGUCGUCGUCAUCAUCAUCAUCAAGCUAGAAAUUCCCCCAGCACAAAUCCCAUGAAGAGAAUCCCAUCAGUCCGGCAACAACAACAACAACCAAGAAAUACUACAGAAUAAAACCAAAAAAAAAAAAAAAUGAAAAAAAAAAUCUGAAAAAAAGAGUUGGAAUUUUUGUAAGCUGGUAUGUGAGCUGUUGUUCGCCUCUUUUACGGUUUGAGCUCGAGUUUUGUGAAAAAGAAAAAGGGAAACGCGCUGCCAAGAUAUUUUUUACCUGGUUUUUGCCAUCAGCGAGGUAUAGAGUUCCUACGUUCAUUAUAAACUCGUAGGAACUUCAUACCGUGCUCUUGGAAGACCAAAAAACAACCAAGUGAAUGCAAAAAUCCCAAAAAGUAUGGCGAAAACAAACAAAAAGUGCGUUUUAAAACGAUGAGAAAACGCUGGACAAACGAAAAGGAAGUUGCAAAUGAUGGGAAAGUAAGAGUUACUACUAAAAAUGUUGAUCGAAAUUCAGUAGUGUGUUUGCCCAAGUUUAUUAUAGUAAUUUAUGGCAAGAUCAUAACACAAAGCUGCUCAUUAAGAGCGAAAUGCGAUGAUAUUUGGUUGGUAAGAAGUAAGGCAAUGUUAUCAUUAUUUUUAUUAAAUGUAUAUUUAAAAACUAUCUUUGCAUGAAUAAACUUGAUACUUGAUAGCUAAAAUUACAAAAAAAAAACUUUUAAUAUUCGAUCGUCAUUUUAUGCCUUUUCUAUUGGCGAUAUUAUGCUUUUAACUUAUCCAUUAAUUACAUCAGUUAGUGAAUAGGAAAUUACUUUUAAUAAAAACCGCAGAGUGCGAUUAAAAACGCUAUAAAAACGCGCGCGAAACGCAUACUACACUCCAUGCGUUUGUAGAAAAAAAUGAUCAAAAUAGAAAUAACAUUUAAACCUAACAAAAGUAUUAGAAUUAUGUUAAAACUUUUCCGCUACAAAAAGAACUUGAAAUGCAUCAGAAACUGAUCGAGAUACUGAAAACCAGCUACCGAUAAGAUAUGGAAAGGCAAUUCUGAGUGACUAAUUCCAAGUAAAGGGCGAUUGAGGUGCGGUUAAUCCGAGCCACUUAAAAGCACUUGUCAUAAAUUAACAAACGUUAUUUCUAAUCUAACUAAAUAACAAUUUCAAUUAAUUGCCACGUUAAGAUAAUGUUGGAUUUGUGGAUGCUCUGUCCCGCUCUACAUAUUUACAAACGUAUAGCCAUCUCUUUCACCGGCUAAAUGGCAUCCACUUUGAAUUUGUUAGUUGGUAAAGCAGCUAAUGGCAAUUGUUUUCUUCUUGAUUGGUGGUUUAGUACGGGGAUAACUGUUUAAACGUAAUUUAGUAAUGGAGAUUACUUGGAAAGGGUUUCAAGAAGCAUAUUUAUAGCAUGGCAUUUCUACAUGAAAAGUUUUCUACAAGAAAAGUUUUCUACUUGCUUGAAACGUAAACAUUCCAUACGAUAUUUGUGAAGAAUUUCUCGGACUUGGAUACCAAAAUACCACAAAAACCAUUGUCAAAAAUCAUUAAACACAAUAUGACUGUCGACUGUCUGGACGACAAGAUAUGGAGUACAAACGGACUGAACACAGUCGAUAGGAGAAAUGCAUGCCAUUUUUAUUUCAUUUUAUUGUACUUAUUUUUCGCUAUGCCCGAUAAGCAGCAAAAUAAAAAAUAAUAACGCAAACGGCACACACACAAUUUGCAGUGACACACCAAAGGCCACAAUGAUAAUUUUAUCAACUCGAAAAAAAAAAUGUAUAUGUAUUUAAAACGGAGGGAGAGAGAAAAAUAUAAAAAAUAUAUAUUUGCUUUAUCGUGCAAAAAUGGGAAUGAAACGAGCAAACGGCUUCCUUGUGGCUUUCGCAAUUUUCGCAGCAUAUUUGCCACUGUCAGUUUGGCCAAAAGGAUUGUUGGCCAGGCCAGCAACCAAACGGCAGCAGCAUUGCACCGCUGAUUUCAACGCUUUUAAAUUCCUUCACUUCUGCACUGCUGUUGCAGCAGUUAAUUUAAUUUCAGCUCAUAAAUCAAAACUGUGCCGCGCAACAAAAUGUUUGCUUUUGACGCGCCGUUUUUGUCGCCAGACUACCGACAUCACUGGACAUGGACGUGGGACACUGGACAAGUGGAACGGACAUGCAGGACGGCAGCUGGAGGAUCGGGAGUAGGAGCAUGCCAACAGGAUCUGGAGAGCUGACUAAGUCCGAUUCACAGCCACCUGAUGUUUGGCAAACAGCGACAGAAUGUAGCCGCAAUUGGCUGGGGAAUACUAAUGAGCCAAUUUUCUAGCUGCCACAGCAAAAUAGCGAAAAUUAAUGGCUUUGGUAAAAGUGAUAGGAAACUGUAAAAUUCGAUUAAUUAUAUCAACUAUAAAGGACUAAUACCAGAUAUAGUCAUAGUCUAGAUUAUGAUAUACAUAUAUUGUACUAUUUCUAUAAUAAAUAGAUUAUUUUCAAAAUGUUCAAGCUUAAAAUGUGUUUUGUAGUAC
ensembl:ncRNA lncRNA:CR46006 long non-coding RNA:CR46006